rnacentral:rRNA from 1 species
GGCGAACGGGUGAGUAACACGUGUGUAACCUACCUCUGGGAGGAGGACAACACCACGAAAGAGGUGCUAAUACUCCAUAGAGCCAUUAAACACAAAUUAAUUGAUGAAAGGUGGCCUCUGCUUGCAAGCUACUGUCCAGAGAUGGGCACGCGGUCUAUUAGCUAGUUGGUGGGGUAAUGGCUCACAAAGGCUACGAUGGAUAGCCGGCCUGAGAGGGUGGCCUGCCAUACUGGGAUUCAGAUACGGCCCAGACUCCUACGGGAGGCAGCAAAUCGGAAUAAUCCACAAUGGGAGAAAUCCUGAUGGUGCCACGCCGCGUGAGCGAUGACGGCUUUCGAGUUGUAAAGCUCUGUGUUAUGGGAAGAAAACCUGAUAGACUAAUAAUCUAUCAGCUUGACGGUACCAUAAUAGAAAGCCCCGGCUAACUACGUGCCAGCAGCCGCGGUAAUACGUAGCGGGCGAGCGUUGUUCGGAAUCACUGGGCGUAAAGGGCGUACAGGCGGCUGUGUAAGUCGGGUGUGAAACCCCCGGGCCCAACCCGAGGACUCCAUUUGAUACUGCAUAGCUUGAGAUCAGGAGAGGAGAGUGGAAUAUGUGGUGUAGCGGUGAAAUGCCUAGAUAACACAUAGAACACCGGUGGCGAAGGCGGCUCU